AAUUUUUGACAAUGGGCGCAAGCCUGAUGCAGCGACGCCGCGUGGGGGAUGACGGNCUNNGGGUUNUNAACUCCUUUCGACAGNNNNNAAGCUUUGGUGCCGGUAUCUGUAUACGAAGCACCGGCCAACUACGUGCCAGCAGCCGCGGUAAUACGCAGGGUGCGAGCGUUGUCCGGAAUUACUGGGCGUAAAUCGCUCGUAGGUGGUUUGUCGCGUCGUCUGUGAAAUCCCGGGGCUUAACUUCGGGCGUGCAGGCGAUACGGGCAUAACUUGAGUGCUGUAGGGGAGACUGGAAUUCCUGGUGUAGCGGUGAAAUGCGCAGAUAUCAGGGGGAACACCAAUGGCGAAGGCAGGUCUCUGGGCAGUAACUGACGCUGAGGAGCGAAAGCGUGGGGAGCAAACAGG
rnacentral:rRNA from 1 species